rnacentral:rRNA from 1 species
UACGGAGGGGGCUAGCGUUGUUCGGAAUUACUGGGCGUAAAGCGCACGUAGGCGGCUUUGCAAGUUAGAGGUGAAAGCCCGGAGCUCAACUCCGGAAUUGCCUUUAAAACUGCAUCGCUAGAAUUGUGGAGAGGUAAGUGGAAUUCCGAGUGUAGAGGUGAAAUUCGUAGAUAUUAGGAAGAACACCAGUGGCGAAGGCGGCUCACUGGUCCGGUACUGACGCUGAGGCGCGAAAGCGUGGGGAGCAAACGGG